UCAUCGCAAAUGGUUCUCAUUUCAAGUGCAAACAAUUGGCAGUUUCUCAAAAGUCACACCCAGGGUCACCACCGCACUCAACAACUCCACUCCUAGAUAGAAAGCCAAGGGAACAGGAAGAAAAAAUCCCUACAUUUGUUUGUACGAAAAUAUGCCUUGAAGGAAAGAGCUGGGAAGGCAAUCUAGGUGCUCACCCACAGACAGAUGAACAAAAUGAACGCAGAGACUGAGGCUUUGUGUGUCUGCGCUCAGAGGUGGCACAUAGCACUUUAUUUUACUUUCUUCUGUAUCUGAUCACAGCGUCUGGCUUGGGAUCUUCUCAAAGAACAAAACCCAUAUUUUCUUGCUAUUUCUAGUCUCAGGUAGUAGUCAGAAAGCCUCCCUAGGUAGUGCUGAUUGACCUGGGACUGCAUGUCUGGAUCAGAGUGGCGUCAGUCUCUCAAUUCUUCUGCCUCUGCCUCCUAUGUGCUGAGAUUGCAGGCAUUAAGCCACUAUGCCUGGCUUAAAGCUUUGUUUGGCUUUUAAAGACACAAAGCAUAUUUCUACCUUACCUCAUUAAAUGCAAUUACUCUGAACCCCCAAAUCA